CAGCAGCCACGGUAAUACGUAGGUGGCAAGCGUUGUCCGGAAUUAUUGGGCGUAAAGGGCUCGCAGGCGGUUUCUUAAGUCUGAUGUGAAAGCCCCCGGCUCAACCGGGGAGGGUUAUUGGAAACUGGGAAACUUGAGUGCAGAAGAGGAGAGUGGAAUUCCACGUGUAGCGGUGAAAUGCGUAGAGAUGUGGAGGAACACCAGUGGCGAAGGCGACUCUCUGGUCUGUAACUGACGCUGAGGAGCGAAAGCGUGGGGAGCGAACAGGAUUAGAUACCCCCGUAGUCCCUGUCUCUUAUAC
rnacentral:rRNA from 1 species